rnacentral:rRNA from 1 species
GACGAACGCUGGCGGCGCGCCUAACACAUGCAAGUCGAACGAGCGAGAGAGAGCUUGCUUUCUUGAGCGAGUGGCGAACGGGUGAGUAACGCGUGAGGAACCUGCCUCAAAGAGGGGGACAACAGUUGGAAACGACUGCUAAUACCGCAUAAGCCCACGACCCGGCUUCGGGUUGAGGGAAAAGGAGCAAUCCGCUUUGAGAUGGCCUCGCGUCCGAUUAGCUAGUUGGUGAGGUAACGGCCCACCAAGGCGACGAUCGGUAGCCGGACUGAGAGGUUGAACGGCCACAUUGGGACUGAGACACGGCCCAGACUCCUACGGGAGGCAGCAGUGGGGAAUAUUGCACAAUGGGGGAAACCCUGAUGCAGCGACGCGGCGUGGAGGAAGAAGGUCUUCGGAUUGUAAACUCCUGUUGUUGAGGAAGAUAAUGACGGUACUCAACAAGGAAGUGACGGCUAACUACGUG